UACGUAGGGUGCAAGCGUUGUCCGGAAUUAUUGGGCGUAAAGCGCGCGUAGGCGGUUACUCAAGUCGGAUGUGAAAGCCCUCGGCUUAACUGAGGAAGUGCACCCGAAACUGAGUAGCUAGAGUACUAAAGAGGGUCGCGGAAUUCCCGGUGUAGAGGUGAAAUUCGUAGAUAUCGGGAGGAACACCGGUGGCGAAGGCGGCGACCUGGGUAGAUACUGACGCUGAGGCGCGAAAGCGUGGGGAGCAAACAGG
rnacentral:rRNA from 1 species